rnacentral:rRNA from 1 species
AUUGAACGCUGGCGGGAAGACUUACACAUGCAAGUCGAACGGUAACGGGCCUUCGGGUGCCGACGAGUGGCGAAAGGGUGAGUAAUAAAUCGGAACGUACCUUUCAGUGGGGGAUAACGUAGCGAGAGUUACGCUAAUACCGCAUAUUCUGUUCGCAGGAAAGCAGGAGACCUUCGGGCCUUGCGCUUAUUGAGCGGCCGAUAUCGGAUUAGCUAGUUGGUGAGGUAAAGGCUCACCAAGGCGACGAUCUGUAGCGGGUCUGAGAGGAUGAUCCGCCACACUGGAACUGAGACACGGUCCAGACUCCUACGGGAGGCAGCAGUGGGGAAUUUUGGACAAUGGGGGCAACCCUGAUCCAGCCAUGCCGCGUGAGUGAAGAAGGCCUUCGGGUUGUAAAGCUCUUUCGGCCGGGAAGAAAUCGUAUGGGCUAAUACCCUGUGCGGAUGACGGUACCGGCAUAAGAAGCACCGGCUAACUACGUGCCAGCCGCCGCAGUAAUAC